rnacentral:rRNA from 1 species
UACAGAGGGUGCAAGCGUUGUUCGGAAUUAUUGGGCGUAAAGGGCGCGUAGGCGGUGCGGUAAGUCUGUAGUGAAAUCUCUGGGCUCAACUCAGAGUCUGCUGCAGAAACUGCCGUGCUUGAGUGUGGGAGAGGUGAGUGGAAUUCCCGGUGUAGCGGUGAAAUGCGUAGAUAUCUGCAGGAACACCCGUGGCGAAGGCGGCUGACUGGAUCGCAACUGACACUGAGGAACGAAAGCUAGGGGAGCAAACAGG